UAACUUUCUUUGUCCCCCCUCACUCUGGGAGGCCAGGAGCACAUCGGGUUUCACUUCACAGAGAAGCCAGUGGAGGAGGUGACCUCCCCAGGUCCCACAGCAGAACUUGGCUCCCUGCCAUCCUCGACUCUGUCCAGAGGCUGGAGGAAGAAUCUGCGCUUGGACCCAGAGUCCAGGUGGGCUGCAUGACCAGGGCCAGUCACUCCCCCCACCGCCCGGCCUCGGUUUCCUCAUCUGUACACUGAAGAACAGGAGGGGAGUUGGGAGCGUGGACUGAGCAAGCUCAGCUGCUAGAGUGCUCACCCAGGGAGCACUCCCUCCUUCUCCCAGGUGGGCGGAAUCAACCUUCCUUCCUUCCUUCCCUCCU
rnacentral:lncRNA from 1 species